AUGAACCAUGAAUUUCCAGAUGUUCAAGCUGGUUUUAGAAAAGAUAGAGGAACCAGAGAUCAUAUUGCCAACAUCCGCUGGAUCAUCAAAAAAGCAAGAGAGUUCCAGAAAAACAUCUAUUUCUGCUUUAUUGACUAUACCAAAGACUUUGACUGUGUGGAUCACAACAAACUGUGGAAAAUUCUGAAAGAGAUGGGAAUACCAGACCACCUGACCUGCCUCUUGAGAAAUCUGUAUGCAGGUCAGGAAGCAACAGUUAGAACUGGACAUGGAACAACAGACUGGUUCCAAAUAGGAAAAGGAGUAUGUCAAGGCUGUAUAUUGUCACCCUGCUUAUUUAACUUCUAUGCAGAGUACAUCAUGAGAAACGCUGGGCUGGAAGAAGCACAAGCUGGAAUCAAGACUGCUGGGAGAAAUAUCAAUAACCUCAGAUAUGCAGAUGACACCACCCUUAUGGCAGAAAGUGAAGAGGAACUAAAAAGCCUCUUGAUGAAAGUGAAAGAGGAGAGUGAAAAAGUUGGCUUAAAGCUCAACAUUCAGAAAACGAAGAUCAUGGCAUCUGGUCCCAUCACUUUAUGGCAAAAAGAUGUGGAAACAGUGGAAACAGUGGCUGACUUUAUUUUUCUGGGCUCCAAAAUCAUUGUAGAUGUUGAUUGCAGCCAUGAAAUUAAAAGACACUCACUCCUUGGAAGGAAAGUUAUGACCAACCUAGACAACAUAUUGAAAAGCAGAGACAUUACUUUGUCAACACAGGUCUGUCUAGUCAAGGCUAUGGUUUUCCGAGUGGUCAGGUAUGGAUGUGAGAGAUGGACUAUAAAGAAAGCUGAGUGCAGAAGAAUUGAUGCUUUUGAACUGGUGUUGGAGAAGACUCUUGAGAGUCCCUUGGAUUGCAAGGAGAUCCAACCAGUCCAUUCUAAAGGAGAUCAGUCCUGGGUGUUCAUUGGAAGGACUGAUGUUGAAGCUGAAAUGCCAAUACUUUCGCCAUCUGAUGCGAAAAGCUGA
rnacentral:lncRNA from 1 species